GGGCCCGUAGCUCAUCUGGUAGAGCGCUGCAUUCGCAUUGCAGAGGUGGAGAGUUCGAGUCUCUUCGGGUCCA
rfam:Microgenomates (Gottesmanbacteria) bacterium GW2011_GWC2_39_8 TT63_C0106, whole genome shotgun sequence.